UGGGGAAGCUUACAAUUUAUCCUACCAUUUCAACCGUUCUGCGUAUAUGCACAUUUUCAUGGAACAGUUUAAUUUCAAUAAUAAUGUUUUAGUUUCUCAAAAUUAUUAUUACGUGGUUGGACAUAAAAAAAAAGAAUACAUUUUUUUUUGCAAAAAAACAAAAAAAAAACAGGAGACACGUAGUGAACAUGACAAAAACUAAUACUGCCUGAUGACUGAGGCUACUGAGGGCUAAAUAAAGGGAGGGUAAUCAGGGUGAUGAGGUCCAGGUGUGUGUAAUGAGGGUUGCCAGGACCGGUGGCUAGUAGACUGGCGACAUAGAGCGCUGGAGCAGGGGAGUGGGAGUAGGUGUGAUGGGACCGGUGGUUAGUAGGUGAUGUAGAGUGUUGGAGCAGGGGAGUGGGAGUAGGUGUGAUGGGACCGGUGGUUAGUAGACAGGUGAUGUAGAGUGUUGGAGCAGGGGAGUGGGAGUAGGUGUGAUGGGACCGGUGGUUAGUAGACAGGUGACGUAGAGUGUUGGAGCAGGGGAGUGGGAGAAGGUGUGAUGGGACCGGUGGUUAGUAGGUGAUGUAGAGUGUUGGAGCAGGGGAGUGGGAGUAGGUGUGAUGGGACCGGUGGUUAGUAGACAGGUGAUGUAGAGUGUUGGAGCAGGGGAGUGGGAGUAGGUGUGAUGGGACCGGUGGUUAGUAGGUGAUGUAGAGUGUUGGAGCAGGGGAGUGGGAGUAGGUGUGAUGGGACCGGUGGUUAGUAGGUGAUGUAGAGUGUUGGAGCAGGGGAGUGGGAGUAGGUGUGAUGGGACCGGUGGUUAGUAGACAGGUGACGUAGAGUGUUGGAGCAGGGGAGUGGGAGAAGGUGUGAUGGGACCGGUGGUUAGUAGACAGGUGAUGUAGAGUGUUGGAGCAGGGGAGUGGGAGAAGGUGUGAUGGGACCGGUGGUUAGUAGGUGAUGUAGAGUGUUGGAGCAGGGGAGUGGGAGAAGGUGUGAUGGGACCGGUGGUUAGUAGGUGAUGUAGAGUGUUGGAGCAGGGGAGUGGGAGAAGGUGUGAUGGGACCGGUGGUUAGUAGGUGAUGUAGAGUGUUGGAGCAGGGGAGUGGGAGAAGGGGUGAUGGGACCGUGGUUAGUAGGUGAUGUAGAGUGUUGGAGCAGGGGAGUGGGAGAAGGGGUGAUGGGACCGGUGGUUAGUAGACAGGUGAUGUAGAGUGUUGGAGCAGGGGAGUGGGAGUAGGUGUGAUGGGACCGGUGGUUAGUAGGUGAUGUAGAGUGUUGGAGCAGGGGAGUGGGAGUAGGUGUGAUGGGACCGGUGGUUAGUAGACAGGUGAUGUAGAGUGUUGGAGCAGGGGAGUGGGAGUAGGUGUGAUGGGACCGGUGGUUAGUAGGUGAUGUAGAGUGUUGGAGCAGGGGAGUGGGAGAAGGGGUGAUGGGACCGGUGGUUAGUAGACAGGUGAUGUAGAGUGUUGGAGCAGGGGAGUGGGAGAAGGUGUGAUGGGACCGGUGGUUAGUAGGUGACGUAGAGUGUUGGAGCAGGGGAGUGGGAGUAGGUGUGAUGGGACCGGUGGUUAGUAGGUGACGUAGAGUGUUGGAGCAGGGGAGUGGGAGAAGGUGUGAUGGGACCGGUGGUUAGUAGACAGGUGACGUAGAGUGUUGGAGCAGGGGAGUGGGAGUAGGUGUGAUGGGACCGGUGGUUAGUAGACAGGUGACGUAGAGUGUUGGAGCAGGGGAGUGGGAGAAGGUGUGAUGGGACCGGUGGUUAGUAGACAGGUGACGUAGAGUGUUGGAGCAGGGGAGUGGGAGUAGGUGUGAUGGGACCGGUGGUUAGUAGACAGGUGACGUAGAGUGUUGGAGCAGGGGAGUGGGAGUAGGUGUGAUGGGACCGGUGGUUAGUAGGUGACGUAGAGUGUUGGAGCAGGGGAGUGGGAGAAGGUGUGAUGGGACCGGUGGUUAGUAGACAGGUGACGUAGAGUGUUGGAGCAGGGGAGUGGGAGUAGGUGUGAUGGGACCGGUGGUUAGUAGGUGACGUAGAGUGUUGGAGCAGGGGAGUGGGAGAAGGUGUGAUGGGACCGGUGGUUAGUAGACAGGUGAUGUAGAGUGUUGGAGCAGGGGAGUGGGAGAAGGUGUGAUGGGACCGGUGGUUAGUAGGUGACGUAGAGUGUUGGAGCAGGGGAGUGGGAGAAGGUGUGAUGGGACCGGUGGUUAGUAGACAGGUGAUGUAGAGUGUUGGAGCAGGGGAGUGGGAGAAGGUGUGUCCUGUAUUGUCCUGUCCUGUCGUCUACUGUCCUGUUCUGUCCUGUCGUGUACUGUAUUGUACUGUCCUGUCCUGUAUUGUCCUCUACUGUCAUGUUCUGUCCUCUACUUCCCUGUUCUGUCCUCUACUGUCCUGUUCUCUACUGUCCUGUUCUGUCCUCUACUGUCCUCUACUGUCCUCUACUGUCCUGUUCUGUCCUCUACUGUCCUGUUCUGUAUUGUACUGUCCUGUUCUGUAUUGUACUGUCCUGUACUGUCCUGUCCUGUCCUGUACUGUCCUGUCCUCUACUGCCCUGUACGGUCCUGUCCUCAACUGUACUGUCCUCAACUGUCCUCAACUGUCCUGUCCUGCACUGUAUUGUACUGUCCUCUACCGUCCUGUCAUGUCCUGCCCUGUCCUCUACUGCCCUGUCCUCUACUGCCCUGUCCUCUACUGCCCUGUCCUCUACUGCCCUGUCCUGUACUGUCCGGUCCUGUACUGUCCGGUCCUGUCCUCUACUGCCCUGUCCUGUACUGUACUGUACUGUACUGUCCUGUCCUCUACUGUCCUGUCCUCUACUGUCCUGUCCUGUCCUCUACUGUCCUGUCCUGUCCUCUACUGUCCUGUCCUGCACUGUCCUGUCCUGUCCUGUCCUGUACUGUCCUGUACUGUCCUGUACUGUCCUGUCCUCUACUGUCCUGUACUGUCCUGUCCUGUCCUCAACUGUAAUGUCCUGUCCUGUCCUCUACUUCCCUGUACGGUCCUGUCCUCAACGGUACUGUCCUCUACUGCCCUGUCCUC